AUACUUCUUAUUUAUUUCUUCAUCGGAAUAACAAACAACUUCAUCCUUUUUCAGAGAUUUAACAUUUAUAAUAAUUAAUCCACACCAUCAUUAUCAUCAGCAUUAUCAUCCCUUCAUUUUCCUUGUCAUUAACUUUGUCGCCUUCGUCAGUCGUGUUGAGUUAUUGUUGACAUUUCUUUCGCCCUUUCUCUUAUACAGUAUCGUCUGGUUCUACACAGUUUUCAUCCCUCUCGUUGACUACUACUUAAUUCAUCCGUCAAGCCGUUUUGUCACUUCGUUUUGCGCAGCCCUCUUGAGGCGUACGGUUUCUCUCACCUUACGCGGGUCAGCAACCCCUUUCAGGCAAAUGCAUCUUUCAAUCAAGAUAGCACACUAUUACAUCCUGUCCAAGUAACGGUCCUUCUUUGUCUGUUUUGGUUUAACAUUAUCAUGUCUUUAGGUAUCAUCAUCAUUAUCAUUUUUAUAGCAUGUUUUUUUCUUUCGCUCUGUUUUCCUCGCUCAGUUUGGCUAGAUCAGCGGGUGUGUCUGUUUUGCGUGUUUUGUGUGUCGUGCGUACGUGUUUUAAGAUUUGGCAGUGAUCAGGUCACCAAUGUGAGCCGUUCAGCCCGAGAUGGCCCCGCAAGUGAGCCAAUUGCCGAACAUAAAAUGCAUCCAUCUCAAAGGGGGACGAACUCAUUUUGUGUUCGAUUGCCUUCGGGUCAUUCGUCGAGUCAUCGUCUUAAGCUUUUCAUUCUAUCUUUCGCUUUUUUGUUUUUGUUUUCUGGGGCAGGAUAUUCUAGGCCUUGCCCCCUAUCGACAACGAACAUUCGGACGCCUAAACAAAUUUUUAGGGUAGACGGCAUCUCUCUGAACCCUUUGCAUCUAUAAGAAGGAGACAUAUACAAACCGGCAAUGUUUACCUGUGGGACUUAUCUUUCUUUAUGGUCGUAUUUCUCGUUGUACAGACACCGAUAACAUACCAGUGUAAUCUACAAGUGAACGCUUCGAUUUCGUGGCUCCCAUCAGGAAUUACCAGGUUAUUCGUUUUGGGGAGGCAGUGAUUUGUUCCACAACUUUCACAACAACGGUGGCGAAACCGCUGACAAGCGAAACCGCUUGUGUACACACCACAUAUUAAUAGCAGUUAUUCAUUAUUGACCUCUUUAUGGUCAUAAGGUGUAGCAUCAAUGGCGCCGCACAUCCCGCAGAAUGCCUGUAUUGGUAUGUCUCCAGUACAUUGGAUUACUGCUCUAAUCCAACGCCGGGCCAGGGUGUACAACUUGAAGUAAUUGCUUGGACCCCACUUCUUUUUUAUAUUUCAGUUAUCAAUGUGAUCCGAAUAUGGAUGGGUUAGAGAUUGCACGUCUUUUCUUUUUAUUGUUUAAAUUGUUCCCGCCUCAAACGUGGGAACUAGGCGCCCGUAAUGUUUAGCUGUCGUUCCAGACAGCUAACUGCCACGAUGUGUCCUUUCGAUAGUUCGCCUCUUUGACACUAUCUCGUUAUAUAUAUAUAUAUAUAUAUAUAUAUAUAUAGCAUAUAUAAGUACUUGUUAGGGUCCGUUCUUUUUUGCUGUAUUUGUCAUUCUUGUUGUUGCUGUCAUUAAGUGCCUGGGUGGAAAUUGUGGCGAAGAACUAUUUACAUGGCAAAGCCUCCCUAUGCCUGACCUUUUUUUUUUCUGGGUGAAUUCCUAGUGGAUCUAACUUGAGUCAUUUAAUUCCGUUUAUCUGCCUUCGAUUUUAUUCGUUCUGCCUAUUUUGUGCCCUGCAGGCAGGGAGCAACUAAACAUAGCGAUACGGCGUGUAAAUUGCAUUAUGAAACAAGUAGGCGUCGGGAGAGGCGUUGCUUUGGAGGCCAAGCGAAGAUACGCACAAUGGACACGCUGAAAUGAGCGUUUGCUGUCAUUUUGUUUUAGUCCUUCUUUUCUUGAUCAAGCCAGCUUUUCUUGAUCUUUGUGGAGCUAAGGCAGUCCACAUAGAUUCUUGUAAUUGCUCUAAGUGAGUAGAGUUUAUAAACAUAGGGCCAAAUCCAGUGUUUCUUCAAAGCUACGUUUUAGGCAAAGUAAAGGAGAACUAAAAAUUUAUGGGAACUAUUAAGGCUUGAGGACAAUGCGUUCAUAUAGAAAUGUAGACUAUUUAUUAUUUAAAUGUUAUCGUACCUCCUAUAGACUCUGUAUAGCCUUUUUUCGGUUUGUUUGUAUCUACUGUAACGUAAAUUGCAGACGAUAGCGUAGCAGACAACAGCUUAAAUCAACCAGUUCAAUGGCCCCUCCUUAGCGCCCUCUGAUGGCAUAGUAUUAUCAACUAAGAGUGCAAAACAAAAAGGAUGCAUUUGGAUGUGUGGCAGGAAUGUGAGUGGAAGAUUAUAGUAAAAAAAUUUAUAUAUCGCUUGCCUUAGUUUUAGUUGACUCUUCUUGUUAGCCUUUUGUUCGGUUUGUUUCCUUGACGUUGGUAUUCAUUAUAUCGUAAUAUAAUUACAAUACAAUAACAAUGCGAUCAUAAGAAGACGAAGGAGAACUCCAAUAAUAUUCUUAAUAAUCAUACUAUCAUCAUCGUCGUCGUCAUCGUACUAUUAAGCUCUGUCAUAAUGAAGGUUGUAUAGAGAAGCUCUUUAGUUGUCCCUCUUUCCUUUGACUCUCUCAUUCUCCCCUAUGUUCUGUUUUAUUCCGUCAUAGAUUAGUUAGCAGUUUCCAUUGAUAAUCAUACUAAUAGUAAUACUGUACUUACAAUAGUCAUAAUAACAAUAAAAAUAAUAGUCAGCAAUAUUAUAAUUUCCAUUAUACAAUAUAUAGCACUCUGGCGUGACGUGUGGAUGCUCUUCGCAAAUGGAAGUUGGCGGUAUGCUGUGACAAAUAUAAACGAACGAUCGCCAAAUCGCGUGAGGUUUCGUUUGUCUGUACUAGUUCCAUAUGGUCUGAUACCCUCACGGAUGAACUCCAUGCGUUCGCCUCAAAACGGAUCUUCAUGUUCGAGGAUCGUGAUCCACGCGUGCACGAAUCCUUGAUAGAAGCCCAAUUCAGUGGCCAGCUGCGCACCUCGCUGUAA